GAUGAACGCUGGCGGCGUGCCUAAUACAUGCAAGUCGAGCGAACGGACGAGAAGCUUGCUUCUCUGAUGUUAGCGGCGGACGGGUGCGUACCACGUGGAUAACCUACCUAUAAGACUGGGAUAACAUCGGGAAACCGGAGCUAAUACCGGAUAAUAUUUUGACCCGCAUGGUUCAAAAGUGAAAGUAGGUAUUGCUGUCACUUAUAGAUGGAUCCGCGCUGCAUCAGCUAGUUGGUAAGGUAACGGCUUACCAAGGCAGGGAGGCAUAGCCGACCUGAGAGGGAGGUCGGCCACACUGGAACUGAGACACGGCCCAGACUCCGACAGUAGGCAGCAGUAGGGAAUCUUCCGCAAUGGGCGAGAGCCUGACGGAGCAACGCCGCGGGAGUGAUGAAGGUCUUCUGAUCGUAGAACGCUGUUAGUAGUGAAGAACAUAUGUGUAAGUAACUGUGAACAUCAUGACGGUACCGAAUCAGAAAGCCACGGCUAACUACGUG
rnacentral:rRNA from 1 species